rnacentral:rRNA from 2 species
GGGGAAUUUUCCGCAAUGGGCGCAAGCCUGACGGAGCAACGCCGCGUGAGGGAGGAAGGCCUGUGGGUUGUAAACCUCUUUUCUCUGGGAAGAAGAUCUGACGGUACCAGAGGAAUAAGCAUCGGCUAACUCCGUGCCAGCAGCCGCGGUAAGACGGAGGAUGCAAGCGUUAUCCGGAAUUAUUGGGCGUAAAGCGUCCGUAGGCGGUCGAUUAAGUCUGCUGUUAAAGACUACAGCUCAACUGUGGGCAGGCAGUGGAAACUGAUUGACUAGAGUACGGUAGGGGUAGAGGGAAUUCCUAGUGUAGCGGUGAAAUGCGUAGAUAUUAGGAAGAACACCAGUGGCGAAGGCGCUCUACUGGGCCGUAACUGACGCUGAUG